rnacentral:misc_RNA from 1 species
GCAAAAUGAAUCGCUUGGGACUGGUCUGCCACUCAACGUUGAGGUUAUGGAGCUGGAUCUGCUCUCCCUCGACUCUGUUGUCAGAUUUGCCGAGGCUUGGAAUGCUCGCCUAGCACCACUGCAUGCUUUGGUCAAUAAUGCUGGCAUUUUUGCAAUUGGAGAGCCUCAACAAUUUUCAAAAGAUGGAUAUGAAGAACACAUGCAAGUGAACCAUCU